rnacentral:ncRNA from 1 species
CAGAGUAGGUUCAUGUGCGUCAAGUGUCGGCGGAACGGGGAGUUGUCCGCCGAACGAAGGUGAUCGCAGAUCGCCGCGGUAUAUGAGCCGCAUCCCGCUGU